rnacentral:rRNA from 1 species
AUGAAAAUCUGUUACAGCGACGACGACGAGGAGAUUGAUCUGAAGUCGCCGUCGGAGAUCGUAGCCCUCCACGCCGCGUGCCGCGACCGCAUCACCGAGUACGACCCCAAGAAGAGAGCCCGCGUCCUCACCCGCUUCUGCGGCGUCAACCUCGCCGGCUUCGACCUCGACAGAGAGUCCAAGGUUGGCCUCGGGCCGCUGCUUGAGGAUGUAACGCCGCAGCUGUGGGAGCUCCGGGCGGGGACGUCGUACAAUGUCGUUUCCGUCAAGGAGGAUAUGUUAGCAUUGACAGGUCCACGUCGAGGAUUAGUAGCAUUUGAUAAUAUACAUUUUGAGUUCAACCUGAAGGUGAAGGGUGAUCCUGACGAUGAAGACUUUAGCAAAGGCGUAAUCGAGUCCCGCACCUUUGACACUGGACCCAUAACUAUGAUGCUACCUAGUUGGCUCAAUAGAGUGGAAUUAGUAUUUGCACCUGUUAAACAUCCGGUGGCGGCUAGCCUCCAAAUCAACAUUCUUAAUGGUCCGCCCUAUGCCCCUUUCGUUGGCAAAGUAUCUGCUGGGACUAGAAAUGCCGAGACCCAUAUUAUUCUAUAUGAUGGUAGAGCAAUGAGUUGCAGCGGGAUAUUAGUCGGAGAUGAUGCCUCCAUUCCCUUGAGUCGUAAUUUGGUAGUUAUCCCUAUACCUACAUGGGACGACGAUGAAGAGUUUUUGGUCCAUGUUUGUAUUUUUGAUAAUGAUGAGGAUGAAGGCACUCAUGUUACUCUACAGCACCCUGAUGAAGAGCAUGUUUGCACUCACGGUUCCUAUGAGCUAAAAGUGAAGGUUACAUGGACUGCCAUCCUCACAAGACCGAUGGGUGCCAAAUAUAACCCAAAGAGGAACCUCUCUUGGACCGAGCGUUACGGUUCGCUGAAUUACAGUGGUUGA